rnacentral:rRNA from 1 species
CAGCCGCCGCGGUAAUACGGAGGGGGCUAGCGUUGUUCGGAAUUACUGGGCGUAAAGCGCACGUAGGCGGCUUGGUAAGUUAGAGGUGAAAGCCUGGAGCUCAACUCCAGAAUUGCCUUUAAGACUGCCGAGCUAGUAGGUGAGAGAGGUAAGUGGAAUUCCGAGUGUAGAGGUGAAAUUCGUAGAUAUUCGGAAGAACACCAGUGGCGAAGGCGGCUUACUGGCUCAUUCUAGACGCUGAGGUGCGAAAGCGUGGGGAGCAAACAGGAUUAGAUACCCCUGUAGUCCCUGUCUCUUAUAC